rnacentral:rRNA from 1 species
GCGGAGGGAUCAUUACACAACAAAAUAUGAAGGCCUGGCUUUGCGGCCGGCUGAAAUAUUUUUUUCACCCAUGUCUUUUGCGCACUUGUUGUUUCCUGGGCGGGUUCGCCCGCCACCAGGACCAAACCAUAAACCUUUUUUUUAUGCAGUUGCAAUCAGCGUCAGUAUAAACAAUGUAAUUAUUACAACUUUCAACAACGGAUCUCUUGGUUCUGGCAUCGAUGAAGAACGCAGCGAAAUGCGAUACGUAGUGUGAAUUGCAGAAUUCAGUGAAUCAUCGAAUCUUUGAACGCACAUUGCGCCCUUUGGUAUUCCAAAGGGCAUGCCUGUUCGAGCGUCAUUUGUACCCUCAAGCUUUGCUUGGUGUUGGGCGUUUUUGUCUCCCUCUUUGCUGGGAGACUCGCCUUAAAACGAUUGGCAGCCGGCCUACUGGUUUCGGAGCGCAGCACAUAUUUUGCACUCUGUAUCAGGAGAAAAGGACGGUAAUCCAUCAAGACUCUUACGAUUUUUAACUUUUGACCUCGGAUCAGGUAGGGAUACCCGCUGAACUUAAGCAUAUCA